rnacentral:rRNA from 1 species
UACGUAGGGUGCAAGCGUUGUCCGGAUUUAUUGGGCGUAAAGAGCUCGUAGGCGGUCCGUCACGUCGGCUGUGCAAACCCGGGGCUCAACCCCGGGCCUGCAGUCGAUACGGGCGGACUAGAGUUCGGUAGGGGAGACUGGAAUUCCUGGUGUAGCGGUGAAAUGCGCAGAUAUCAGGAGGAACACCAGUGGCGAAGGCGGUUACCUGGACUCGUUCUGACGCUGAGGCACGGAAGCUGGGGGAGCAAACGGG